rnacentral:rRNA from 1 species
UACAGAGGUCCCAAGCGUUGUUCGGAUUCACUGGGCGUAAAGGGUGCGUAGGUGGUAGGGUAAGUCGGAUGUGAAAGCUCGGAGCUCAACUCCGAAAUGGCAUUGGAAACUACCUUGCUCGAGGGUUGGAGGGGGGACUGGAAUGCUUGGUGUAGCAGUGAAAUGCGUAGAUAUCAAGCGGAACACCAGUGGCGAAGGCGAGUCCCUGGACAACUCCUGACACUGAGGCACGAAAGCUAGGGGAGCAAACAGG